CAAUACAUUGACCCGAGCCAGGUAUGUGUAAUAGAGUAAUUAUUCAUUUAGAACGUAAGAACAUAAGGUUCAAUGAGCAUUAAACGAAGUCUUAGAUAGACAAUGGGUUACUUAAAUGGGUAAACCGAACAUUUUAAAAGAGGGUCGUGGCGUUCUGAAAAGCAUAAUGACUUUUCGAACAAGAUCAUAACUCAAAAGAAGAAUUAUGGGUCAAACAUGCUCUCAAAAGACCUUGUCGUAAUUGAAAGACUAAAAAGGACCAAAAUGCCCUUGUUGGCUAAAUUGAACAAACAACCCUUAGAGGUUGUUUGGAAACGAGUUUCAUGAUUAGAUAAAUACUUAGAAUAAGUGUAGAAGUUGAAAGAUGUAAUACGUUAGUCAAAUGGCUCUAUUCGAGUCUUGCCGUAAAAUAAUAAUCCGAAGGGUAAAACUCGGAACAUAUAGAUAUCCACAUUAAAUCCAACACACAUAGAGUUUUAGUUGAAGAUUACUUGAUAAGAAAUGUAGGAAUAAGAUGCUAGAAAUGAAUGAAAGCGAUUUCAAGCUUUAAAGUGCUUAAAUAC
rnacentral:lncRNA from 1 species